rnacentral:rRNA from 1 species
GGUAAACGCUGGCGGCGUGCCUAAACAUGCAAGUCGAACGGGCAGUCUUCGGAUUGUCAGUGGCAGACGGCUGAGUAACGCGUGGGUGACGUACCUAUCGGUGGGAUAACUGCCCGAAAGGGUGGGCUAAUACCGCAUACGUCCACUGAUUCAAUUUGGUGGGAAACGCAAGGUGUCGAUGGAGCGGCCCGCGUUCGAUUAGCUAGUUGGUGGGUAACGGCCGUACCAAGGCGACGANCGAUAGCUGGUCUCAGA